GUCAGCUAUCUGCUGAUAUUUCAUACUCGUCCCAUACACAUAAUACAGAAAGCAGGAGAAGCCGUUAGGUACUAGCAGUAAAAGCAAUCCAGACUAAGCACUUUCCAAUAGCACAAAAUGAGGCAAUUUACCAGGAAGAGAGGGAGUUGCAUUAGCAUGAAAAAAGUCUAAGUUAUUCACAAGAUGCUCAAAGAGAAGGAAGAAUCAUCAAUCCUGAACACUGGGACCGUGAGGAUCCCUAAGGAUUUUACAUGAUGCUAGUGACACCAAGCCAAAUAACUACUGCUGUUGCUCAGCUUCGUGCCAGGUUUGCAGACUUCCUGGUGGUUCAGAGCCCAGCAGUGCCCCAGCUUCUCCCUUCCAGCAGUUCCUGGCCAGCCUCUCCUUUCUGCUCCACAUAGCCCUCGUUAAACUAUUGGCCUCUGACAUGGAGAGGCUUUUUGAGAAGACUGGUUAGGAAGAAAGGAAACGAGAUUAAACAGAAUAGGUCAUUUGAGAUCAGCUGCAGAAAUGUUGCCUUUAUUUGCUUGGUCUGGUAGCUUUGGAAGAUAGGAACUCCACAUCAGUUACGUUUAUAUAAAGAAUAAAGGCCUUAAUUACAGCAGCUCUUGCAUUCAAGCAGGCAGUAGGGAAGCCAAAAGAAAAACAGAAGGGUUCACGGUCAGAGUAAUAAUGUCUGAUGAUCAGAAGUAUCACAUAAACUUCAGAUGGUUAAAAACGGAAUAUCAAAUUAUUUUCCUCUUCUACUCAGUUACUGUGUAAUCUGAUCACUAAUAGCAUCUCCCGUUGCAGACACUGUGACACUGAUGGCAGUCUCUACCACGGCAAAGAGUGGCACCUCUUGCUUUGCAUUCAAUAGCUUCCCUGCAGUUCCCCUGCCAUGCCACAGCAUCCCCCCAGCCCAUGUGGCUGGCUGGCAGUCAUGGAGAGAGUAGUUUCAGAAGCGGGGUACAUAUGUAGUUGGACUUUUGAAGGGAAAAUAGAACUUGAUACUUCAGUUCCCAUAGGAUACCACCACAGAGACUAUUUUCUGUAAAACGAAACCAGUGGAGUGGUGUUUUACACCACAGCAUCGUAUAAAAGGCAAGACAGUUGGCCCAGGGACACUCCUACACAGACAAACUCCUGUCUCUCCUGACAGGUUCACAUUUCUUUAUCUGGCAAGCAUAACACUAUAGUCUGUGUAUAAAGCAGCCUUUUCAUUUAGGGAACAAUUAAGCUAAUCCCAGCAAGACUUCAUGUUUAACCAAGUUCGCAGUGAACAAGUUUGUAGUCUGCAUUCAAUCAAGCUCUUUUAACUUCCACAAGGGCAAAAAAGUGCAUUUGAAAUGUAAAAGUCUAUGCUUCCUAAGACCCGUGAGAGUUCUGCCCAAGUAGAACUAUGCAUCUAUUUGCUGACACAUUGGUAUUGUAUCAGCAGGCUUCUUUCUUCAGUCUGUCAUUAGUCUUCCAAUUAAGCAAUGAACGGUAGUUUUGUAAGUCUCCUUUUCUUUCAUUAAAAUACAUUGGUAUCCACUGCAGCACUUGAUCAAUACAUCCCUCUGCAGCCAUGCACCAUCAAAUACAGCUGCUUAAAGGUAGCAUUAGCUGCACUCGUUACAGGAUGCAGACUCUUGGCCUUCAGAAGCUCACCUAUUCAAAAGUGUGGCCAGAGUCUGUGCUUCUUUCAGUUUGGUUUGAGCUGGGGUAGGGUCCAGCUGUGGCCAAUGAUGAUUUGAAUUCAAUGAAGUCAAAAGACAAUAA